rnacentral:lncRNA from 1 species
AGCCUGCCAGAAGAAAAAGAUCUCUGCCCUAGCCAGACCCACGACAUUUCCCUAGCGCACUGCAGUAGCACAAAGUGAGGGUAGUCCUGUCGCUGGAGUGAGUAUCUGCGCUGCACCCGGUGGUACCGCAGCGUAACAUCGUGGCUUACGGGCCCUGAGUCUGCCGAGGUGCUUCCAAAGGAAGGGGCUCUACUGCUCCCCAAAGGCUGCGCCGCAGCAGUCUGUGGAUAAGAGGAUGCUCUGCCCAUGCGCAGCAUUUCCACCGACGCAGAGCGUAGCUACUCAGAAUGCUGUGUGGGCAAACGCAGCCGAGUUUUAACAGUAUCAUCUGGGCUGCACAGUUGCAUCUAAACCCCUGCGUUUCUACACCAGAGCCCUCCCGUAGCUGGAGGAAGCAAGCAGCCGUUCAGGACAGACCUGAGAAGACAAUGGCAUUUAACAAAUGUGACUCAGCCAAUCUGAGAGGAUACAAAGACACGUGGGUUACCAAGUGUCCCAAAAUGGCGUCUCCUCUCCGUGGAAGGCAGGCGGAUACAAGAUGGCGCCUCCCUAUGCAGGGAGGUGGGAGGGAUUUCCUGUGCAGGGCCCUGCCACCUCCGGUGGGGCUGAUUGACAUUGGGCCCUGCCCUUCACCUGAGGUUUCUUUCCCACCCCGGCAUGCAGUCGGCACAGCGCUGCCUGCUGCUGACCAGGAAGAGCUGCGGGCCGGAGAGGCAGGUGUGUGGAGCAGGAGCAGCAGCUUUACACGCCACAGCGUUCGGUGCCUGGCUGCCCGAGUGGUAAGAGAUGUUCUGUUGCACAUUGGGCGUAGUGAGGAGGGCUUGAAAGUGUAGAUUCACGGAAAGGGAGGGGGGCUCUCCGAGUGUUCUGGGGAGCCGUUCUGCCCCUUUCUGGAGGGCAAGCGGGACAGAUGCUGUUGUUAGCAGGGAAGAUGAGAGAGCCAUAGAGCUGCAGCUUGAGGCUGUGUUUGUGCGCUCCCGAGAAUGCUAUUGCCCAGGAGCCGCCUUUUCUCAGUGCAGCUACUCAAGGACAAGGCCCCGCGUCCUUUGGAAGGGGUGUGUGACAGGGUAAUCCUGUUCCCUCUGGCUUCAAGCCACGCAUGCUAUUGGAAAUGCAGGGUUGAAUCCUGCUGUAGCCCCUGCAGCCUGAAAGGUACCGAAGAACUGGGCUCGAGGGCCCAAAGGCUGGGAUUGGCAAGAGGCCUCUCCGUUUCAUACUGAUGCUUUCAGGAGCAUAGCCAUAUCUUUAACUUUGGCCUGCCGAGAACUGUCUGUGGGUUACUUGUGCCUGCUGGGGUGUAGCCCUCGAGGCCCGGCUAAACAGCACACAGUGGUUCGCUCUCCCUCCCCAGGCAAGGCUGGGGACAGUACCGGCAAGGUAGAAGUGGGAGGACUCACAGGAGAGGCUGAAGGCCGUUUCCGGGGCAAGGCCCAGGCCGCAAGAAGGAGCAAGGCAAAAUGCGGGAUUUCAUUUCCAGGUUCCCGUUGGCGGGCAGAUGGGAUAUUCAGGUGCUCCCAGAAAAGCGGGGACCGUCUCGUGUCACAGUUAGCUGGGAAGACAAUCAGCAUUGCUCCCAGUAUGCUCUCAUGCCUCCUUCUGUAGGUUGGCUGUAACUGCGGAGCACGACAUUAGGUGGUACGGAAUAUCCCCUUGGUUCAGUUUGGGCCAGGUGGCCCAGCUGGGAUCCCCGCCGCCCUCCCGCAACUUCUUGUGCCACUCCAGCCUCCUGGCUCGAAGGAGAGCAUAAGAAGCAGAAGCGUCCUUGGUUUCUGUGGAAGCAGCGCUCUGCUACAGCACUUAGGUGGCUGUGUGAUCCGUGCUGUUCAUGGCCCGAUUCCCAAACCUGCAGGACAGGUGCCUGCCAGAAGAAAAAGAUCUCUGCCCUAGCCAGACCCACGACAUUUCCCUAGCGCACUGCAGUAGCACAAAGUGAGGGUAGUCCUGUCGCUGGAGUGAGUAUCUGCGCUGCACCCGGUGGUACUGCAGCGUAACAUCGUGGCUUACGGGCCCUGAGUCUGCCGAGGUGCUUCCAAAGGAAGGGGCUCUGCUGCUCCCCAAAGGCUGCGCCGCAGCAGUCUGUGGAUAAGAGGAUGCUCUGCCCAUGCGCAGCAUUUCCACCGACGCAGAGCGUAGCUACUCAGAAUGCUGUGUGGGCAAACGCAGCCGAGUUUUAACAGUAUCAUCUGGGCUGCACAGUUGCAUCUAAACCCCUGCGUUUCUACACCAGAGCCCUCCCAUAGCUGGAGGAAGCAAGCAGCCGUUCAGGACAGACCUGAGAAGACAAUGGCAUUUAACAAAUGUGACUCAGCCAAUCUGAGAGGAUACAAAGACACGUGGGUUACCAAGUGUCCCAAAAUGGGGUCUCCUCUCCGUGGAAGGCAGGCAGAUACAAGAUGGCGCCUCCCUAUGCAGGGAGGUGGGAGGGAUUUCCUGUGCAGGGCCCUGCCACCUCCGGUGGGGCUGAUUGACAUUGGGCCCUGCCCUUCACCUGAGGUUUCUUUCCCACCCCGGCAUGCAGUCGGCACAGCGCUGCCUGCUGCUGACCAGGAAGAGCUGCGGGCCGGAGAGGCAGGUGUGUGGAGCAGGAGCAGCAGCUUUACACGCCACAGCGUUCGGUGCCUGGCUGCCCGAGUGGUAAGAGAUGUUCUGUUGCUCAUAGGGCGUAGUGAGGAGGGCUUGAAAGUGUAGAUUCACGGAAAGGGAGGGGGGCUCUCUGAGUGUUCUGGGGAGCCGUUCUGCCCCCUUUCUGGAGGGCAAGCGGGACAGAUGCUGUUGUUAGCAGGGAAGAUGAGAGAGCCAUAGAGCUGCAGCUUGAGGCUGUGUUUGUGCGCUGCCGGGAGUGCUAUUGCCCAGGAGCCGCCUUUUCUCAGUGCAGCUACUCAAGGACAAGGCCCCGCGUCCUUUGGAAGGGGUGUGUGACAGGGUAAUCCUGUCCCCUCUGGCUUCAAGCCACGCAUGCUAUUGGAAAUGCAGGGUUGAAUCCUGCUGUAGCCCCUGCAGCCUGAAAGGUACCGAAGAACUGGGCUCGAGGGCCCAAAGGCUGGGAUUGGCAAGUGGCCUUUCCGUUUCAUACUGAUGCUUUCAGGAGCAUAGCCAUAUCUUUAACUUUGGCCUGCCGAGAACUGUCUGUGGGUUACUUGUGCCUGCUGGGGUGUAGCCCUCGAGGCCCGGCUAAACAGUACACAGUGGUUCGCUCUCCCUCCCCAGGCAAGGCUGGGGACAGUACC